rnacentral:rRNA from 1 species
AAUGAACGCUGGCGGCAUGCCUAACACAUGCAAGUCGAACGAAGGCUUCGGCCUUAGUGGCGCACGGGUGCGUAACGCGUGGGAAUCUGCCCUUGGGUUCGGAAUAACAGUUAGAAAUGACUGCUAAUACCGGAUGAUGUCGUAAGACCAAAGAUUUAUCGCCAGGGAUGAGCCCGCGUAAGAUUAGGUAGUUGGUGAGGUAAAGGCUCACCAAGCCGACGAUCUUUAGCUGGUCUGAGAGGAUGAUCAGCCACACUGGGACUGAGACACGGCCCAG